rnacentral:rRNA from 1 species
UACGUAGGGGGCUAGCGUUGUCCGGAAUCAUUGGGCGUAAAGCGCGUGUAGGCGGUCCGAUAAGUCCGCUGUGAAAGUCGAGGGCUCAACCCUCGAAUGCCGGUGGAUACUGUCGGGCUUGAGUACGGGAGAGGCGAGUGGAAUUCCUGGUGUAGCGGUGAAAUGCGCAGAUAUCAGGAGGAACACCAAUUGCGAAGGCAGCUCGCUGGGACGUUACUGACGCUGAGACGCGAAAGCGUGGGGAGCAAACAGG